AGUGAACGCUGGCGGUAGGCCUAACACAUGCAAGUCGAACGGCAACACAGUAAGAGCUUGCCCUUACGGGUGGCGAGUGGCGGACGGGUGAGGAAUACAUCGGCAUCUACUUUUUCGUGGGGGAUAACGUAGGGAAACUUACGCUAAUACCUCAUACGACCUACGGGUGAAAGCAGUGGAUCUUCGGACCUUUCGCGUCUGUAUGAGCCGAUGUCGGAUUAGCUAGUUGGCGGGGUAAAGGCCCACCAAGGCGACGAUCCGUAGCUGGUCUGAGAGGAUGAUCAGCCACACUGGAACUGAGACACGGUCCAGACUCCUACGGGAGGCAGCAGUGGGGAAUAUUGGACAAUGGGCGCAAGCCUGAUCCAGCCAUACCGCGUGAGUGAAGAAGGCCUUCGGGUUGUAAAACCCUUUUGUUGGGAAAGAAAAGCAGCAGAUUAAUACCCCGCUGUUCUGACGGUACCCAAAGAAUAAGCACCGGCUAACUUCGUG
rnacentral:rRNA from 1 species